UACGUAGGGUGCGAGCGUUAAUCGGAAUUACUGGGCAUAAAGCGUGCGCAGGCGGUUUUGUAAGCCAGAUGUGAAAGCCCCGGGCUUAACCUGGGAAUGGCAUUUGGGACUGCAAGGCUUGAGUGCGGCAGAGGAGACUGGAAUUCCUGGUGUAGCAGUGAAAUGCGUAGAUAUCAGGAGGAAUACCGAUGGCGAAGGCAGGUCUCUGGGCCGAUACUGACGCUGAGGAGCGAAAGCGUGGGGAGCGAACAGG
rnacentral:rRNA from 1 species